rnacentral:rRNA from 1 species
UACAGAGGUCCCAAGCGUUGUUCGGAUUCACUGGGCGUAAAGGGUGCGUAGGCGGUCGGGUAAGUCUGAUGUGAAAUCUCACAGCUUAACUGUGAAACUGCAUUGGAUACUAUCCGGCUCGAGGAAUGGAGGGGAGACUGGAAUACUUGGUGUAGCAGUGAAAUGCGUAGAUAUCAAGUGGAACACCAGUGGCGAAGGCGGCGCACUGGACCACAACUGACGCUGAGGCGCGAAAGCUAGGGGAGCAAACAGG